rnacentral:lncRNA from 1 species
AUCAGUGGAUCAUCAUCCUGAAUGAUGUUGAUCAUAUUGUCAUCAAUCUUAGAGGUGCAUGAUGCACUCUAUCUAACCUUCGGAGAAGAGAUGUGUAUUAUGGAUGUACCUCAUCUUUAGGUACUUCUGAUUGAGGAUCUUCUUGCGGUCCAACCACUGGUAUUUCUGGAUCGAAUUGUAGAUUAUGAACUUCAGUAAGUUCAAUAUUCCUCCCACUGCCUCCUUUUUGGAUGAGUUUAUUUUCUUAAAAAAUGAUGUGCCUACUAACAAACACCUUUUAUUCAGUAGGUAGUAGUAGUAUUCAUUAGUUUUCUUAGGAUACCCUACAAAUCUAUACUUAUUUGAUCUAGCACGAAGCUUAUGUCCAAAAAUAUUUCUGACAUAAGCAAGACAGUCCUAAGUCUUAAGAUGUUUAAGAUUAGGCUUCCUUCCCUUCUAUAUCUCAUAUGGUGUGCUUGCAACAGACUUGGA